CCUACGGGGGGCAGCAGUGAGGAAUAUUGGUCAAUGGCCGUACGGCUGAACCAGCCAAGUCGCGUGAGGGAAGAAUGCCCUAUGGGUCGUAAACCUCUUUUGUCAGGGAGCAAAGGCGUCCACGUGUGGACGAGAGGAGAGUAACUGAAGAAAAAGCAUCGGCUAACUCCGUGCCAGCCGCCGCGGUAAUACGGAGGAUUCGAGCGUUAUCCGUAUUUAUUGGGUUUAAAGGUUGCGUAGGCGGAGUUUCAAGUCAGCGGUAAAAUUUCGGGGCUCAACCCCGUCGUGCCGUUGAAACUGACGGCCGUGAGUGAGCGAGAAGUAAGCGGAAUGCGUGGUGUAGCGGUGAAAUGCAGAGAUAUCACGCAGAACGCCGAUUGCGAAGGCAGCUUACCGGCGCCCAACUGACGCUGAGGCACGAAAGCGUGGGUAUCGAACAGGAUUAGAUACCCGGGUAGUC
rnacentral:rRNA from 1 species